GGAUUCUGGAGCCAGGAAGCCAGAGAGUAAGCAGAGAAUGGGUGUUUUGGUUUUAACCCCAUACAUGCUGGGUUUAAUGUAGGGAAACUGAUAUCAGUGUUGGUAUCACUACCACCUCUGAAUUUUGUGGUCUUAAUGAUUUCAGAUGGUUAGUCUCAUCUUUCAAAGUUGAAGUGUCUCUCCAGUGGUCUCUACUAACGAAGUUCAAGAUCCAGCCAGCUUGCAAAGAAAAAUACUUAAAGGGCCCGGCACAGUCGUUACCCAGCAAGUAAAACGGAGCUGAGAGGCAAUAACCAGCACAUCGUACAUGUUCUUUUCUAAGCUAGAAUAUAUAGACUAGUGUUUAUGGUUCUAUGUGAUAAUUAACAGGUUCUAAUAAUAGCAUUCCAGAAUGCAAGUUAACUUGACUUUUUUUUUCCUUUCC
rnacentral:lncRNA from 1 species